rnacentral:rRNA from 1 species
UACGUAGGGUGCAAGCGUUAAUCGGAAUUACUGGGCGUAAAGCGUGCGCAGGCGGCUUUGCAAGACAGAUGUGAAAUCCCCGGGCUUAACCUGGGAACUGCAUUUGUGACUGCAUGGCUGGAGUGCGGCAGAGGGGGAUGGAAUUCCGCGUGUAGCAGUGAAAUGCGCAGAUAUGCGGAGGAACACCGAUGGCGAAGGCAAUCCCCUGGGCCUGCACUGACGCUCAUGCACGAAAGCGUGGGGAGCAAACAGG